AGGCCUUAUAUAUAUGCACUUAUUAUAUAUCUACAUACUGUUCAUUAAACCAUUUGCUGUAAGUUUGUUAUUCCCUCAUCCUAAAAUAAGUGAGAUGAUUUCUAUAAAAAUCUAAUUUUGGGACAGAGAAAGUACAUGAAAAAAAUACGAUAGGUUGGUUGAACAAUGACGGGUUCAGUAAUUGCUGGCACAUUUGUACCCGCAAGUAGCAGUGAAUUGGCAUAUCUGUGCAAGUUAAUGCUACUAGUAAAUUAGAAAGAGUUGCGGACAUAUAUUGCACAAGGCUACCUAAUUGAAAAUACGCACGCACGAAAUGCAGAGGCCGAGGAAAUGUCCUCCUUUUAGAAAAGAAAAAAGAAAAAUGCACGCACGAAUUCUUUCUUUAUUACCCUGUGCUCGUCCAAGGACGGAAUGUACUUUACAUUCAUGAGCUUCGAAUGAAAAUGAAGAGUGCGCUGCCCCGUCCCUAAAUCUUC
rnacentral:lncRNA from 1 species